CCUACGGGAGGCAGCAGUUAGGAAUUUUGCACAAUGGGCGAAAGCCUGAUGCAGCAACGCCGCCUGGACGAUGAAGGCCUUCGGGUCGUAAAGUCCUUUUCAGAGGGAAGAAACGGACGGUACCUCUGGAAUAAGCCUCGGCUAACUACGUGCCAGCAGCCGCGGUAAUACGUAGGAGGCGAGCGUUAUCCGGAUUUACUGGGCGUAAAGAGCGCGUAGGCGGUUCCGUAAGUUGGGCGUGAAAGCCCCCGGCUUAACUGGGGAGGGUCGUUCAAUACUGCGGGACUUGAGGGCAGACGAGGAGACUGGAAUUCCCGGUGUAGGGGUGAAAUGCGUAGAUAUCGGGAGGAACACCCGUGGCGAAGGCGGCCUUCUGGGCCUACCCUGACGCUGAGGCACGAAAGCGUGGGGAGCAAACAGGAUUAGAUCCCCUUGUAGU
rnacentral:rRNA from 1 species